GACGAACGCUGGCGGCGUGCCUAAUACAUGCAAGUCGAACGCAGUGGGGACGGGUGAGUAACACGUGGGUAACCUCCCAUCAGAGGGGAUAACACUUGGAAACAGGUGCUAAACCGCUACUGAUGGAUGGACCCGCGGUGCAUUAGCUAGUUGGUGAGGUAACGGCUCACCAAGGCCACGAUGCAUAGCCGAGCGGAGAGGGUGAGCGGCCAAACUGGGACGUAGAGACUGCCCAGACUCCUACGGGAGGCAGCAGUAGGGAAUCUGCGGCAAUGGACGAAAGGCUGACAGAGCAAUGCCGCGUGAGUGAAGAAGGUUUGCGGGUCUUAAAACUCUGUUGUUAGAGAAGCGGUAUCUAACCAGAAAGCCACGGCUAACUACGUGCCAGCCGCCGCGGUAAUUC
rnacentral:rRNA from 1 species